CCUGCCCCUAAGGGCACUAUGGGUGUGGCCACUGUGUCACUUGUGCAUCAGCUGGCAGCAGGGAGGAGAGAGGCCGAGUCUACACUCAGUGUUCCGAUCUGUGAACAUCUGAAUGACUAGUAGCCUAAUAUU
ensembl:snoRNA